GGGUGAUUAGCUCAGCUGGGAGAGCACCUCCCUUACAAGGAAUUGGUCGCAGGUUCGAAUCCUGCACGACCCACCA
rnacentral:tRNA from 1 species